CUGUUGAGUGCCUGUUCUGGGCCCAGGACUGGAGGCUGAGAGGGAGCUGACCACCACGGUCACACGUGCAGGAAGCCCUGUAGCUGGGAUCAAACCCAGGGCUGUUGUGCAGAACAGAAGUAAGCACACGGGGAAGGCAUGAAACCAUGGGGCCAGAAUUCUAGACUUGUUACAUAUAAAGAAUUCUGUAUGCCACGGAAAUCCAGGCAUGAAAGAGGAUGAGCCGGCUCGCAUGAACUGCCAUGAAGAAGCUCUAAGAUACAUAUUUUUGGUGAACAAGGCAAGGGAGAAGGAGCCACAGCUGGUUUAGGAAGAGGCUCCAGGUGCAGCCUGAGACGACCCAGCGGGCCUGACCCCCACAGACCUGCCUCCCACGAGCCCCCGGCCCAGCCCUGCCUCGAGCUCCCAGCCACGUGGCCAGGAUCCUUCUGAAUUUUUAGCAUCACAUACAUAUUUUAGGAAAAUAUUCUCAUUGUAAUAUCUCAAACAUUAAUAAAAUGUAGCCAAUAAAACCCAAGUAAUUUCCCUGCACUUCCCAAGUCCCAUUUUCCUGAAACAUUACCGUCAAUUGGUAGGCAUCCUUUCAAAAG